rnacentral:rRNA from 1 species
AGGAAAAGAAACUAACAAGGAUUCCCCUAGUAACUGCGAGUGAAGCGGGAAGAGCUCAAAUUUGAAAUCUGGCGGUUCCGCCGCCCGAGUUGUAAUCUGGAGAAGCGUUUUCCGUGCCGGACCGUGUACAAGUCCCUUGGAACAGGGCGUCAUAGAGGGUGAGAAUCCCGUCUUUGACACGGACUCCCGGUGCUCUGCGAUGCGCUCUCGAAGAGUCGAGUUGUUUGGGAAUGCAGCUCAAAAYGGGUGGUAAAUUCCAUCUAAAGCUAAAUAUUGGCGAGAGACCGAUAGCGAACAAGUACCGUGAGGGAAAGAUGAAAAGCACUUUGGAAAGAGAGUAAAACAGUACGUGAAAUUGUUGAAAGGGAAACGCUUGAAGUCAGUCGCGUCUUCUGGGACUCAGCCUUGCUUCUGCUCGGCGCACUUCCCAGUUUGACGGGUCAGCAUCGGCUCUGGGGGGCGGACAAAGGCGUGGGGAAGGUGGCAGCUCCGGCUGUGUUAUAGCCCCGCGCUACGCGUCCCCCGGGACCGAGGAAUCCGGCGCUCGCGCCUGGGAUGCUGGCGUAAUGGCUUUAAACGACCC